AGAGUUUGAUCCUGGCUCAGAAUGAACGUUGGCGGUGCGCCUAACACAUGCAAGUCGAGCGAGAGUAAUCUAGCGGCAAACGGGUGAGUAACGCGUGGGAAUCUGCCCUUUAGUGAGGAAUACCUUCAAGAAAUUGGAGUUAAUACUGCAUACGUCCCUUCGGGGAGAAAGAUGGCCUCUUUGCUAUCGCUAAAGGAUGA
rnacentral:rRNA from 1 species